UUAUAGGCGCCCGGUGGAAACCUAGGCAUUAAGAAAAGGAACGUAGAACUAAGAAGAGAAAAAUUCUUUGAAACUUAGUUAAUCCUAUGUGUAAACACACUCAACGUAUUGAGUAUCAAUUCAUACCCAGAGAACUGAAACAUCUAAUUAUCUGGAGGAAAACAAAUCAAUCGAGAUUCCGUUAGUAGUGGCGAGCGAAUGCGGAUUAGGACUGUAUCAACACUUUUUAGAACCAGAACAAGUUGGGAAACUUGGCCAUAGAAGGUUAUAGCCCUGUAUUACUUUCUAAAAAGACCUGAUCACGAGUAAGGUGAGUUAGGUGAAAUCUUGCCUGAAGAUAGGGGACCCAUCCUCUAAUCCUAAAUAUUUCUUAAUGACCGAUAGUGAACAUAGUACCGUGAGGGAAAGGUGAAAGAUGAUCUCAGGCACAUUUGCGCCGCUUAUUUGAGACGUGAAAAUGAAGCUCGGCGCCUACGAGCAGUUAGAGCUUAUGAUUUCAUAAGUGAUAGCGUACCUUUUGUAUAAUGGGUCAGCUAGUUGAUGUAUGUAGCAAAGUUAAGUCGUUAGAUGAAGCUGUAGCGAAAGCGAGUUUGAACAGAGCGUAUAGUUACAUAUUUCAGACCCGAAACCAAGUGAUCUAACCAAAAGCAGGCUGAAAAAGAUUUUUCUUUGGAGGGCCGAACCCGUGUAUGUUGCAACAUACUGGGAUGACUUUUGGUUCGGAGUGAAAGGCUAAUCAAACUUGGAGAUAGCUGGUUUUCUGCGAAAUCUAUUUAGGUAGAGCGUUGUAUUGAUUAACAGGGGGGUAGAGCCACUAGAUAGGCUAGGGGGAGACCUAUGGUCUUACUGAACCUAACCAAACUCCGAAUACCCUGUUAGCAUUAUACAGCAGACAGACUUUGGGUGCUAAGAUCCAAGGUCGAGAGGGAAAAAGCCCAGACUUUCAGUUAAGGUCCUUAACACAUACUAAGUGGUGAAGGAGGUAGUAAGUCCAAGACAGUCAGUAGAUAGGCUUAGAAGCAGCCAUUCUUUAAAGAAAGCGUAACAGCUCGUUGACCUAGUAGGAUUUACUGCGCCGAAGAUGUAAGGGACUAAAGUAUGUGACCGAAACUAAAGAUAAAAGAUUAAAAUCUUUUAUGGUAGCAGAACGUUCUGUAAGCCGAUGAAUCUGUAUGGCGACAUACAGUGGAGGUAUCAGAAGUGACAAUGCUGACAUGAGUAGCGAAAAUGGUAGGCUCUUUACGAGCAGUUGUCUAUCAUCGCCGAAAAUCCUAGGUUUUUUAGGGUAUGGCAGAACCGCCCUAAAGUUAGUCGGCCCCUAAGAUUAAAACGAAAGUUGAAAUUGAUGGGAAUCUAAGUUUCAUUCUUAGAACCUUGAAUAAGUGACAAAACUUUUAGAUUGUUAAAGCUUAGACGGAUUGUUAUUAGCAAUUUAUAGUUUUCAAGAAAAAGCUUUUCAUUGUAAGACCGUACCAAAAACCGACUCUGGUGGAUUAGUAGAGAAUACUAAGGCGUUGUGGGAGAAUCAUGUUGAAGGAACUCGGCAAAAUGACUCUGUAACUUCGGGAGAAAGAGUACUGAGAUGAGGGCAACCUCAUUUUAGUGGCACAAAGCAGGGGGUAGCGACUGUUUACUAAAAACACAGGGCUCUGCUAAAUUGAAAAAUGAUGUAUAGGGCCUGACGCCUGCCCGGUGCCAGAAGGCGAAAGAUGUUAGAUGAAAAUCUAGAUUAUAAACCCUGGUAAACGGCGGCCGUAACCAUAACGGUCCUAAGGUAGCAAAAUUCCUUGUCGGGUAAUUUCCGACCUGCAUGAAUGGCGUAACGACUUCCCCACUGUCUCCAACAUGAACCCAGUGAAAUUGAAUUCUCCGUGAAGAUGCGGAGUACUAACGGCUAGACGGAAAGACCCCGUGCACCUUUACUACAGCUUUGUAUUGGUUUUAGUUUUUUUGUAUGUAGGAUAGGCGGUAGCUUAGAAUAUCUUAUGAUUAGGCACCCUUGAAAUACCGCUGACAUUAAACCUUUAAACCUAACUCUUACUAAGAGGACAUUGCAUGGCGGGUAGUUUGACUGGGGCGGUCACCUCCUAAAGAGUAACGGAGGUGCGCAAAGGUAAGCUCAGAUAAGUCUUUUGACUAUCGGAGAGUGUAAUGGCAUAAGCUUGCCUGACUGUAAGACUGACAAGUCAAACAGGGACGAAAGUCGGCCAUAGUGACCCGAUGAUGCUGAAUGGAAGGGUCAUCGCUCAACGGAUAAAAGGUACGCCGGGGAUAACAGGCUAAUGACUCCCGAGAGAUCAUAUCGACGGGGUCGCUUGGCACCUCGAUGUCGACUCAUCACAUCCUGGAGUUGUAGAAGAUUCCAAGGGUUCGGCUGUUCGCCGAUGAAAGUGGUACGCGAGUUGGGUUGAGAACGUCGUGAGACAGUUCGGUUCCUAUCUACCGUUAGUGUUAUAGAAUUGAAGAGUUUGAGCUCUAGUACGAAAGGACCGAGAUAAGUAUACCAAUGGUGUAACAGUUGUUUUGCCAAAAGCAUUGCUGUGUAGCUACGUAUAUAAUGCAUAAUUGCUGAAAGCAUAUAAGCAAGAAGGCAGCUCUAAAACAAAUUCUAUGUUUUUCUAUCAUCUGUAUAGAAAUUAUAAAGAGGGGUGGCAGUAGACUACUGCUAGAAAUAUUAAUAUUUUACAGGUUUGGUGUU
rnacentral:rRNA from 2 species